rnacentral:rRNA from 1 species
GACGAACGCUGGCGGCGUGCUUAACACAUGCAAGUCGUACGGUAAGGCCCUUUCGGGGGUACACGAGUGGCGCACGGGUGCGUAACACGUGAGUAACCUGCCCACAACUUUGGGAUAACGCUAGGAAACUGGUGCUAAUACUGGAUAUGUGCCCCUGCUGCAUGGUGGGGGUUGGAAAGCUCCGGCGGUUGUGGAUGGACUCGCGGCCUAUCAGCUUGUUGGUGGGGUAGUGGCCUACCAAGGCGGCGACGGGUAGCCGGCCUGAGAGGGUGACCGGCCACAUUGGGACUGAGAUACGGCCCAGACUCCUACGGGAGGCAGCGGUGGGGAAUAUUGCACAAUGGGCGCAAGCCUGAUGCAGCAACGCCGCGUGCGGGAUGACGGCCUUCGGGUUGUAAACCGCUUUCAGCAGGGACGAAGCUUUUUGUGACGGUACCUGCAGAAGAAGCACCGGCUAACUACGUG